AGAGUCUCUGGAGCUUUUUCCCUUUCCUCUGCAGCAUGGUGCAUGGAUCACUUGCAGGCUUAAAAUAGUGUAAAUGAUAGAUUCUCUAUAACUUGGAGUCUUGCAAUCAUGAUUUGUGGACUUC